GACCUCUCCGGGUCACAUCUAGAGAGUUUCCAGUACUCUACCAUCCUUAACUAUGGGAGGAAGAGUCAAGCAGAGGCAUAUCCAUUCCAUUCCUAGCUUGGGCAGUGUCUAGUGAGGGGAAGGCAAUCUGCUACAAGU